UUAUAUUUUUCACGAAAGAAACUGUAUUCAUUCUCAGUAAAAAAGCAAUACUGCGUGAGUUUUGAUAAGAUAAAUAUUAGUCAUAUUAUCGUGACAUGUUUACUCAUGAAGUUGAUAUUUGCGUGUAUAUAAGACUGUAACAAUGUUACAGAUGCUACAAGAAACUAUUUCGCUUGGAGUCAAAUAUAAAACAAAAUUACAUUACAGGAAUGAAGAGUCUGAUACUACUUUUAAUUGUGGUCAUAACUAUGACAUUCUCUAAAGUAGACUGUAUACCAAUUGCUCAGCCACGGGCUGAAUCAUGGAAUAAUGCUGAUCUUUGUGAGAAGUUCAAGAAACCAGGACAAAGUCCACCAAUAAUUUGUUUUUAACAUCUAUUAUUGUUUCCAGAAAUAUAUAAAAUGU